CAGCAGCCGCGGUAAUACGUAGGGUGCAAGCGUUAAUCGGAAUUACUGGGCGUAAAGCGUGCGCAGGCGGUUAUAUAAGUCAGAUGUGAAAUCCCCGGGCUCAACCUGGGAACUGCACUUGAGACUGUAUGGCUAGAGUGUGUCAGAGGGGGGUAGAAUUCCACGUGUAGCAGUGAAAUGCGUAGAUAUGUGGAGGAAUACCGAUGGCGAAGGCAGCCCCCUGGGAUAACACUGACGCUCAUGCACGAAAGCGUGGGGAGCAAACAGGAUUAGAUACCCCAGUAGUCCCUGUCUCUUAUAC
rnacentral:rRNA from 1 species